GCUGGGCAUGGUGGUGCAUGCCUGUAAUCCCAGCUACUCAGGAGGCUGAGGCAGGAGAACUGCUUGAACCCAGGAGGCGGAGGUUGCAGUGAGCCAAGAUUGCGCCACUGCACUCCAGCCUGGGUGACAGAGCGAGACUCUGCCUCAA
rnacentral:SRP_RNA from 1 species